UGGGGAAUAUUGCACAAUGGGCGCAAGCCUGAUGCAGCAAUGCCGCGUGAGUGAAGACGGCCUUAGGGUUGUAAAACUCUUUCGCUAGGGAAGAUAAUGACGGUACCUAGUAAAGAAGUCCCGGCUAACUCCGUGCCAGCAGCCGCGGUAAUACGGAGGGGACUAGCGUUGCUCGGAAUUACUGGGCGUAAAGACUUCGUAGGCGGACUAGCAAGUUAGAGGUGAAAUCCCAGGGCUCAACCUUGGAACUGCCUUUAAAACUGCUAGUCUAGAGACCGGAAGAGGUUAGGGGAAUACCUAGUGUAGAGGUGAAAUUCGUAGAUAUUAGGUGGAACACCAGUGGCGAAGGCGCCUAACUGGUCCGGUACUGACGCUGAGGAACGAAAGCGUGGGG
rnacentral:rRNA from 1 species